CACUUUAGAAAAGAACCGGCGGCGCUGAGAAAGCGGGCUGUUUCCUGUCCUCCUAGGGACCGAGGCGGCAGCCGCGGCAGCUCCGGCGCGUUGCUGAGCAAGAAGCGGGGCUGGGACCGCCAAGCCGGGCGGCCACCCGGGUCUCUUCCGCGCGGCCGGAGCAGAGGCGGCAGCGGCGGCCCGGCUUACCUCCUCUUUUCCUCUUCCUGGGUCUCUUCAGAUGCUCCCUGGCUCUCACGCUCGCGGCGGCGGCGGCGGCGGUAGCGCCCGGAGCUCAGCUCGCUGUCUCCCUCGCUUAGUGCGGGGCUCUCGCCUCACUCCAGAGAGAGGGGCGGGAGGAAAACGGCGCGCAACAAUGACGCAAGUCACCUAGCAACCGCUCUCUCCCCCACCCCCUCCCUUCUCUCUCCGCUCGGAGGCUCACUCCCCUAGUCUUUUUUCACCUUUCCGACCACCCCGCCCUAGGCGCCUCUGGCGCGCUCUGAUGACGCUCCAAGGGAAGAGGAAGUCGGGCUCGGCGAGCGGGUGGGUGCGCCUCGGGCCGCGGACUCGGUGUCGCUGCCGCCGCCUCUACGGCCGCGUCAGAACAGAAGAGAGGAAGGGGAGGAGCCGCGUGGAGCCUAAGCUGCCGCCUGAGCUUACCCCUGACCCGAGGGCGGUGGAGAGAGCUUGCUCUGUAGCGGUUUCCUUCAGAGCAGGUGGUGACUGCUCCUUGGGGAGCAAGGAGGAGGCCCAGGCCGCGCGGCCAUGCUCGGGCGCGCACCACCCGAAGGUGAGGCAUUUGGCCCCAAACGGGCCUUCGGAAAGCCCAGCUGCUCGAGAAGUUAUCUUACAGCUUGAUCUGCCGCACCUGCUCGAGGGCGCGAGCGCCCCACCCUUCCCCUGGUGUGGAGGGACACCAGCGCCCGAUGACGCGUGGUCAGGCAGAGCAAAUGUUUGAUGAAUGAAUGAAUGGCUCCCUCACUCGCGGAGCUCAGAGGAGUUUGACGGAAGUCCAAGCUCUUUGUAAACUGCGUAGCAUUUGUAAAGAUGCGAGUUGUAACACAUCCCUCUUACCCCUCUCCCCCCGAAGGAAAUGGGGCUGCGGUUGAAAUGAGUCCCAACCUGAGUCUUAAGUGAAAAAAGAGGCGAACUGCUGGGACGAAAGAAGGGAGCCGUCCUCCCAGGGAUUGUGGCAGUAUUUUUGACUUUUCAGGAAGAGGAUUUAGUACUGAUUCCCUUUUAGGAAUCAUUCAUGUUUGUGGCUUGGAGCUUUGGAAAGCUGGUAUUGGUUGUUAAUCGGUGUCCAUUACUGUAAUCAAGAAAUUUUGGCCUGUGUUUCAGGUCUGACU
ensembl:lncRNA